rnacentral:rRNA from 1 species
GACGAACGCUGGCGGCGUGCCUAAUACAUGCAAGUAGAACGCUGAAGGAGGAGCUUGCUCUUCUGGAUGAGUUGCGAACGGGUGAGUAACGCGUAGGUAACCUGCCUGGUAGCGGGGGAUAACUAUUGGAAACGAUAGCUAAUACCGCAUAACAUUGACUAUUGCAUGAUAGUCAAUUGAAAGGUGCAAAUGCACCACUAUCAGAUGGACCUGCGUUGUAUUAGCUAGUUGGUGGGGUAACGGCUCACCAAGGCGACGAUACAUAGCCGACCUGAGAGGGUGAUCGGCCACACUGGGACUGAGACACGGCCCAGACUCCUACGGGAGGCAGCAGUAGGGAAUCUUCGGCAAUGGACGGAAGUCUGACCGAGCAACGCCGCGUGAGUGAAGAAGGUUUUCGGAUCGUAAAGCUCUGUUGUAAGAGAAGAACGAGUGUGAGAGUGGAAAGUUCACACUGUGACGGUAUCUUACCAGAAAGGG